rnacentral:rRNA from 1 species
AAAAACAUGGUCUUUUGUUUAUAUAAAAGAUUUGACCUGCCCCAUGAUUAUUAUUUAAUGGCUGCAGUAUUUUGACUGUACGAAGGUAGCAUAAUCAUUUGUCUUUUAAUUGGAGUCUGGAAUGAAUGGUUUGAUGAAAAAUAUUCUUUCUUUAUUUUAUAGGAAAAAUUUAAUUUUUUAGUUAAAAAGCUAAAAUAUUUUUAUAGGACGAGAAGACCCUAUAGAACUUUAUUUUUGAAUUUUUAUAUUCGGUUUGGUAUAUAUUUUGAAUAUAUUAGUGUGGAAUUUUGUUGGGGUGACAGAAAAAAUUUAAUAACUUUUUCUAUUUUAGUCGUUAUUUACGAUUUUUUGAUCCUUUAUUUGGGAAUAGAAGAUUAAGUUACCUUAGGGAUAACAGCGUUAUUGUUUUAGAGAGUUCAUAUCGAUAAAAUAGUUUGCGACCUCGAUGUUGGAUUAUAAUAAGAUGUAGGAGUAGAAGAUUAUUUUCUAGGUCUGUUCGACCUUUAAAUUUUUACAUGAUCUG